GACGAACCACACGAACGUUAUUCGGAAUUACUGGGCUUAAAGGGUGCGUAGGCUGUGCGGAAAGUUAGGUGUGAAAUCCCCCGGCUCAACCGGGGAAUUGCGCUUAAAACUACCGUGCUAGAGGAAGACAGAGGUGAGCGGAACUUCGGGUGGAGCGGUGAAAUGCGUUGAUAUCCGAAGGAACACCGGUGGCGAAAGCGGCUCACUGGGUCUUUUCUGACGCUGAUGCACGAAAGCUAGGGGAGCAAACGGG
rnacentral:rRNA from 1 species